AUUGAACGCUGGCGGCAGGCCUAACACAUGCAAGUCGAGCGGAUGAGUGGAGCUUGCUCCAUGAUUCAGCGGCGGACGGGUGAGUAAUGCCUAGGAAUCUGCCUGGUAGUGGGGGACAACGUUUCGAAAGGAACGCUAAUACCGCAUACGUCCUACGGGAGAAAGUGGGGGAUCUUCGGACCUCACGCUAUCAGAUGAGCCUAGGUCGGAUUAGCUAGUUGGUGAGGUAAAGGCUCACCAAGGCGACGAUCCGUAACUGGUCUGAGAGGAUGAUCAGUCACACUGGAACUGAGACACGGUCCAGACUCCUACGGGAGGCAGCAGUGGGGAAUAUUGGACAAUGGGCGAAAGCCUGAUCCAGCCAUGCCGCGUGUGUGAAGAAGGUCUUCGGAUU
rnacentral:rRNA from 1 species